rnacentral:snRNA from 1 species
GGCUAUGAGUUAUCUGGCUGUGACAUCUGUCACCUCACUGAUCACAGGGUUAAUUUGACUGAUUUGGCUGGCUAGGCAGGGGUCUAGCCCUUCCCUUGUUGCUCCAUGUUCACCUCUUCUGAAGCUGUGUGCUUGAUAGCUUUCCCCAGCAUAAGCCUGUUCUUCAGUCAAGGGUAUAUGAAUAGCUGUGCUUGGCCCUCCGUGCUGUUUAGUUAUUGCUGACUAACCCUCUCCAUCAGAGUAUCACGUCUGUGAAACAUAUUAUAAUUUCUAUUGCUAUGGGGGGACCCAGCACACUGUGGGUGGUGCCAUCCC